CAGUGUGUAGUAGUGCAGUGUGUAAUAGUGCAGUGUGUAAUAGUGCAGUGUGCAGUAGUGCAGUGUGUAGUAGUGCAGUGUGCAGUAGUGCAGUGUAUAAUAGUGCAGUGUGCAGUAGUGCAGUGUGUAGUAGUGCAGUGUGUAGUAGUGCAGUGUGUAGUAGUGCACUGUGUACUAGUGCAGUGUGCAGUAGUGCAGUGUGUAAUAAUGCAAUGUGUAAUUGUGCAGUGUGUAAUAAUGCAGUGUACAGAAGUGCAGUGUGUAGUAGUGCAGUGUGUAAUAGUGCAGUGUGUAAUAGUGCAGUGUGUAAUAGUGCAGUGUGCAGUAUUGCAGUGUGUUUGCACACUAAAAUAAACAGAAUAAACAAGUCUAUUUAAAGGUCUGGAAGCAGAAUCAGUGUUUAGGUUUGUAGCAGAGUUGUGUAGGCUGCUUGUGUACGUAUAUUUUAUGGAUACAGUGUGCACGUUUUUGUUUGUUUGUGUGCGUGUGUGGCGUGUGUGUGUGAUUCUGUGCUUCGUACUUGACUCACGACUCGCACUGUGUAAAAAUAUUUUUCAGCCUCCUGCGCAACAUCAAAUGACGCAUAAUUGCCCAUCAAAUAAACACUCGGCGUAGAUGUUCAUUCUGCUCAACUACAAAAACACUCAGCGUUACUCUAUUUACAAUCUGUAAGUCAUUCAGCCCCGAGCUCAAAGCAGGAACAGUUGUUUAAGGGCUCUUGUGAUUGGCCAUGUUAAUGAAGAUAGAGGUUUUUUAUCUUUGUUAGGCUUGUAGACGAGAGCAAUAUGUGGGACGGAUGGGUAUCAAACAGGCAAAACAGAGUCAAAUACAAAUAUGUGGAUUUACAGACAGACAGCAAAACGUAUCUUGGUUAAAAGCUAAAAAAACUCUAUUAGAUGGACUUAAAAUUCUUUAUCUUUCCCAAAAAUCAACGUUGCGCCUUAUAAUCCGGUGCUUCUUAUGUAUGAAUUCUACCAGUCAGGUAUUAAGGAGCAGUAAAGCCACUCCACUGAAGUACAGAGUUAUACAGGAGUUACAGUGAAGUUUCUCCAGCACCAAGACUGGAGCAGCAUUAGCAUUAGCCUCUAACCACUGUUUCCCUGUUCAGAGGUAAGCAUUAUCAGCCUGUGGCCUGAAGUUUCUCCAGCACUGCUGGAGCAGCAUUAGCAUUAGCCACUAAUUAGCCACUUUCACCGUUCAGAGGUGAGUAUUUCAGACUGUAGUCUGCGUGUUUACCAUGUUAAAAUAAGCUACAUUAGACAAACCGCUUGCUAAUAUUGCCAUAGCUUACCAGAACACUCAGGGUUCCUCAGUGUAAUGCUGUCGACAGCAUUAGCAGCUAACCGCAGCUAACCUUAGUAUAAAUCUGGAAAUCUAAGCUUACUGUAAAUAAACAGAAGCGCUUUACUCACACAAAUAAACAGUUUUCAGGAGAGAAAUCUGUGUAGAUUAACAUCCAGCGCUUGUUUGACUUUAAGUAAAUAUUUUUUUGCUUUAAGAAUUACAGUUUUGUUAGCUUAGCUUACCUUUACAGGUUUCACCACCCAGCGGCGAGAUCUGCUGAAUUAGAAGGAAAACAUGGUGACACCCCUGUUCCUUACUACUGUCACAUAAUGCAACUUAUAGUGCGAGGAAAAAAAAAACAGUAAUAUUAAUCUUUUAAUUGAUGUACAUUAUCAUAUUAUUACCCAGGUUCAAUAUAAAAUACUUUAAUUUGAUCAGAUUAGCGACAAUCUCUGAUAUUCUGUAGUAAUCAGAUUAUUAUAAAGUUAAUGUAAACGCAUUCAGUGUCCUAAAGCAGCUGUGACAAUGUGCAGUUUUUAGCCCUUCGACACAGCGUAUGAUUUCAGAUACGAAUCUGAGAGGAUUUCUCUCAAGUUUUGGCAAUAUUGAUAACUGCUGUAUUGUUGUUUUAUGAUUUAUUCUAAUGUAUUUUCCUACCUUUUUUUUGUUUUUCUUUUUUUUUUUUGCAUGAAAGUCUUAAAUGUCACUCCAGUAUUUUAAAUAACUAGUCAUAAAGAGUGAGGGUUAUAAUGAUGCCAAUGGUUUUUGAAACGUAGCCCCACUCUAAAGUCCCUCCUUAUAAUAAAUAAUGCUGGUGUGAAAGAGCUGGUUGCUUGUCCAGAAUUUCAGUGACCCUGUAUGGAGUAUUAUUAUUAUUAUUAUUAUUAUUAUUAUUAUUAUUAUUAUUAUUAUUAUUAUAUAUUGCAUCAGAUGAAAGAUCGCAUGUGAGACGUUACCGACAGCUCUUUAUCUUUUAUUUUAUUUUAUUUUUUUCUUCUCAUAACCAUUGAGAUUAUUGUUGUUGAUUCUCAAUGAUGUUUGAUAAUGAAAAGAUCUCUUCAUGACUGAUAUGAGGACUCUACUCUGAUUUUCAGCCUAAUUUCUGUUUUCUCUAAUUAAUAAAAUAUAUAAUGAUGCCACUUUUAAUAGAGAUGCUGUGAUAAUUCAGAGAUCUGUCCUCUUUCUCGCUGUUCUUCUCGCUCAGACCUCUUCGUGCCAAAAGGAGGACUCACUCGAUGGUCCUGAUGGGGUGGAUUUGCUGGCUAAACGACUUCACAUCUGCCUCAGAACCCAUUUAUGGUUUUUAACACUGGUUUUUAUUUUUAUCUCCCCUUUUUUUUUUUUCUUUCGUGAUGAGGGCUUCAGUAUUUCUCUCCUCUCUGUUUGUUUAAUUUAUACUGUUCCAGUCUAUUUUAGUGGGCCUUCAUAUAAUAAUCUGUUUUUAUUUACCCAAUGUGAACAUUUGCUAUGUUAAAUUUUCCGUUCGUUUGUUUUCCAUAACACUGUCACACUUUUUUUUGUCGUUCUGUGAGUUGUGGUAACUGACUGAGUUCAUACCAUUAUAUAAAUAUAUCAAUAAAAUGCUUUGGUGUUUUCAUGCACUUUGUUUCA